rnacentral:sRNA from 1 species
AGGAGCGUUGGUGGUAGAGUAAGGGUGAAAAACCAGGAAGGAGGAGGCCAGGGAGGGUACAAAAGUCAAAGAAAACAAUUAUCGGGGACAUGGGGAUAGCGUGGACCAGCUUUGUUGGCAUCCAAGUAAUCCUGACCUAUUUGUUACGGCAUCCGGAGAUAAAACCAUUCGCAUCUGGGACGUGAGGACUACAAAAUGCAUUGCCACUGUGAACACUAAAGGGGAGAACAUUAAUAUCUGCUGGAGUCCUGAUGGGCAGACCAUUGCUGUAGGCAACAAGGAUGAUGUGGUGACCUUUAUUGAUGCCAAGACACACCGUUCCAAAGCAGAAGAGCAGUUCAAGUUCGAGGUCAACGAAAUCUCCUGGAACAAUGACAAUAAUAUGUUCUUCCUGACAAAUGGCAAUGGUUGUAUCAACAUCCUCAGCUACCCAGAACUGAAGCCUGUGCAGUCUAUCAACGCCCAUCCUUCCAACUGCAUCUGUAUCAAGUUUGACCCCAUGGGGAAGUACUUUGCCACAGGAAGUGCAGAUGCUUUGGUCAGCCUCUGGGAUGUGGAUGAGUUAGUGUGUGUUCGGUGCUUUUCCAGGCUGGAUUGGCCUGUAAGGACCCUCAGUUUCAGCCAUGAUGGGAAAAUGCUGGCGUCAGCAUCGGAAGAUCAUUUUAUUGACAUUGCUGAAGUGGAGACAG